AAAAAAAAAAAAAAUUAAAAAACUCAAAAAUAAGAGAUAUUUAUAUGCACGUGCACAUAUGCAAUCAUAAAAACAUAUUCUGUUGACAUUCAAAAUUUGGCAGGGUUAUAUUCAUGUCUCUUUCUAUUUUUUUAGUUUUCUAAGGCCAACCCUUACACUGUAAACUAAACGACGUCACUGAACUCCCCACCAAAGAAACCUAGCUUCGAGAUCCAACAGAAUACUCAAUACAGGCUCAAGCUCCAUACCCUUGGGCAGAUUACAGUCGACUGUUGUUGACCGUGGUCAACAGCCAUACCCAGUCAUCGUACAAGAAAUUUUUUCAAGCACUUUUUUUUCUGCAGUUUCUGACUUAAAAAUAAGUCACUACUUAAAUAUUUUUCGUGUACAAGCAAAUUUUAUGGUGUUAGUGAUUUUUUCAAAAUUGAAUUUAAGUGUUAUAUUGUGAUAAUAAUAUAUUUCUGUCUACUAUAAAUAUGUCAACAAAUUAUACAUACCAGAUUGGACCAAAACUAUGUAUUAUAUAUAUAUACAUAUUGUAUACAAAUUUUAUGUAUAAACUAUAUCAUACUUUUUCACGUGAGUUGUACAUUAACUGGACAACCGUCUAGAAUUGGAGGACACUAACACCCAGGACCGCCUGCCGAGAAUCUUCAUGUACGGGCUUGAGAUACGAUCAUAGAAUGGGCCAUGACCGUUGGUCGUCGUGCAGGUUUGCAACAACAACCAAGACGAAUGUACAUGAAAUCGAUGACUGAAAAAAUUGGUGCGAUAAAACGUAUCUUCUGGAACGAACAACGUAAUUAAGAUAAAUGUUAAAACUUUCUUUUUUUUUAUUUUACACAUUAUUAAAUAUUUUUUGAAGAAAUAUUAAGAGUAUUAAAAAAAGUACAAGUUGUUGUUACCAACAGAAAUCUACCGACAGAUUCAAGAACCCACCGCAAGGUGUCCUCUAAAGCAGUCAUACUAAAUUGGAGGAUGCGUUCAAACAAAAAAAAAAAGUUUAAUUUUAAUAAAGUUUAAGAAUAUAAUUUUUAAAGAGAAUUAAAAAUUUAAUUAAAUAAAAAAAAAACAGUUUAGAAUUGAAAUAUAUAAUUUUGGAAUUAUUGCUGCAAAUAUGUAAAACUAUUGUAACUCUGUUUUUUUAAAUCAUUGUAAGUGUAAACCAUUGGUAUUUAUAGCAAAUAAUUUCUAUUAUACUUGAAAAUAUAAAAAAAUAAAAAUAUAUACAACUUACCUUUUGUCCUUUUUAAUAAAAAAAAUUAAUAUUUUUAUGUCUAAUAAUAAGUUGUAAAUAAAUUGUUAUCAAGUUUUUUAUAUAGAUGUGAAUAGAUCUAUU
rnacentral:lncRNA from 1 species